rnacentral:lncRNA from 1 species
GGAAGUAACCGAAUGUUUCUGGGCGGCAGCGUGGGGCGCAACCUCGUGCUGUGGAGGGCCCUUGGGGCAGGGGAAGCGCUGCCAUGGCCGCGCGAGGAGCAACGGCAUCAAGAUGACUGUGUUUUCCAGGACUCUCGAUUGAUAUGCUUGCGGCACUGCAUCGAUAAAUAUGUAUGCCGUCUGUGGUCAGGUGGCGUUGGGCUUGAAGUUGUUCGAGGAAAUGCGGCGCUUCAUUGAUAAAAAUGUGCGCCAUGUGUGGACGAGUGAGAGUUGGGCUUGAAGGUGUUCGAGGAAACGAGGCACCUUAAUAUUUAUGCCGUGUGGUCAGGUGGGGUUGCCCUUGAAGGUGUUCGAGGAAAUGUGGCACCUCAAUGAGAUAUAUGUAUGUCGUGUGUGGUCAG